GACAGAGGAUGCAAGCAUUAUCCGGAAUGAUUGGGCGUAAAGCGUCUGUAGGUGGCUUUUCAAGUCUGCCGUCAAAUCCCAGGGCUCAACCCUGGACAGGCAGUGGAAACUAACAAGCUGGAGUACGGUAGGGGCAGAGGGAAUUUCCGGUGGAGCGGUGAAAUGCAUUGAGAUCGGAAAGAACACCAACGACAAAAGCACUCUGCUGGGCCGACACUGACACUAAGAGACGAAAGCUAGGGGAGCAAAUGGG
rnacentral:rRNA from 1 species